CCUACGGGAGGCAGCAGUGGGGAAUAUUGCACAAUGGGCGAAAGCCUGAUGCAGCGACGCCGCGUGAGGGAUGACGGCCUUCGGGUUGUAAACCUCUUUCAGUAGGGAAGAAGCGAAAGUGACGGUACCUGCAGAAGAAGCGCCGGCCAACUACGUGCCAGCAGCCGCGGUAAUACGUAGGGCGCAAGCGUUAUCCGGAAUUAUUGGGCGUAAAGAGCUCGUAGGCGGUUUGUCGCGUCUAUCGUGAAAGUCCGGGGCUCAACUCCGGAUCUGCGGUGGGUACGGGCAGACUAGAGUGAUGUAGGGGAGACUGGAAUUCCUGGUGUAGCGGUGAAAUGCGCAGAUAUCAGGAGGAACACCGAUGGCGAAGGCAGGUCUCUGGGCAUUAACUGACGCUGAGGAGCGAAAGCAUGGGGAGCGAACAGGAUUAGAUACCCUGGUAGUCCAUGCCGUAAACGUUGGGCACUAGGUGUGGGGGACAUUCCACGUUUUCCGCGCCGUAGCUAACGCAUUAAGUGCCCCGCCUGGGGAGUACGGCCGCAAGGCAAAACUCAAAUGAAUUGACGG
rnacentral:rRNA from 1 species